UCAGACACGUCAGAUUUGAUCCUGGCUCAGGAUGAACGCUAGCUACAGGCUUAACACAUGCAAGUCGAGGGGCAGCAUGAAUAUUGGCUUGCCAAUAUUUGAUGGCGACCGGCGCACGGGUGAGUAACACGUAUCCAACCUUCCGGUUACUCGGGGAUAGGCUUUCGAAAGAAAGAUUAAUACCCGAUGUUGCGUAUCUUUCUCCUGAAAGAUACGCCAAAGGAUUCCGGUAACCGAUGGGGAUGCGUUCCAUUAGGCAGUUGGCGGGGUAACGGCCCACCAAACCUUCGAUGGAUAGGGGUUCUGAGAGGAAGGUCCCCCCACAUUGGAACUGAGACACGGUCCAA
rnacentral:rRNA from 1 species